UGUGGCGUUUUGUAGUGGCUGUCAGCAACGUCAUUCUCCUGUAGAAGCGUCUGCAGAAAAUCUGGAAGAACAAGAGAAGCGUGCUGGCGAACAUGGCUUUGAUGCAAAAAUGCAGACCUCUCUUUGCAGCCCUUCAGGUGAAGCACAUCAUGAAGGUGCUGGUCUUCUUGACAAUCACAUGCCAUCUGUUGACAUAUUUCUUGACACAAAUACGAUGCUGGGGCAAAGAAUAGUUCUGUUUUUUGGCAUCUUGGAAAUCAGUCGUCUUUGCGCACAGUUUCGUUUGCA